GCUACCACAACGACUGUCUUCUUUUAAACUCCUGACUCCUGUUGCCGUGUCUCAGUCACAUAGCUGAUAUGCCUGGUCUUGCCUGCCUCAAUCAUCCCGCCGCUCAAGUCAAAUCAAAGAGCUGCCCAGUGCGCGAUUGCACAACAGCUGCUCGCAAACUGCAAUAGAGCCACACGGUGCACAGCACACUCAAACAGGGGAAUCAGGCGGUGAAAGCCGACGGCGGCACUGCCGGUAAGGCCGCUGGCGGGCAGCAGUUGGCAAGCGCUGGAUUUUUGGUCCCAAUCGAAAUGCAGACCUGUUUCCCUGUUUGUGGAGGCAGUUAUAACUCAGUCUACUAGUGGGGCUCAUCCUGCAGAUACACUUUGUUUUCACUCGGGAAACACCUAUUUUUCAUCGGACUGGAAAAUCUCUGAAUGUCAUAUUGAUGCUGCUUGGAGAAGUCUGCAUGCAUGAAGCUUUCUAACAUUUCAUUGGUGACAUCAUGUUGUUCUUCUUCAGACUACAAACUAGAUAAGACUGAAUCAUCAACACCAGAGUGCAGCACUAUUGCUCAGUAAAAAAAACAAAAAAAAACAAAAAGAAUCUCCAAGGUAAAGUUGUGUAAUGUUUUGUUUUGUUUGUUGCAGGACAGGUUAAAAGAAAAGUUUAAAAUAAAUGACUUUUUUUUCUUUUGAAGAAUGGUCAACAUCUCA